GAAGGUCAUGGAUUACCUGCCAAAACACCAUUAACAGCUUUCCUGUCUUUCAAGCAAGAGGCAGAAAGGAGAAGAGCCACUAAUUCUCCAGCAGAACCAAAUGAAACGGUGACAGAGUCUCCAUUGCUGUCUGUGAUGUCACACCUCCUGAGUUUCCUGGAGCAAUAUUCCCACCUGCAACAGCUGCAGCAGCAGGCGGAUCAGUACCGUCUGCAGCUGCGCAGACACCGCGUCCAGCACCGGCGGAAAAUGAAGGCCCUGCGUGCCUCCUACCGCCAGCGCCUCAAAGACAAGAACAGUGUGAUUAACAGCCUGGAGGAAGUGAUUGCUCAGCAGCAGAGCCCAUCAUCUGAAAAUGAGGGUGACUGCAUGCUUCCUGCAGCGUCUCCGGUUGGGCUGCAUAAGUUGGUUCAGUCUCUUUGCGGGCUGCAAGUAGAGAAGAGUCAGCUGAGAGGAGAGCUGCGAUUGCUUCAUUCCAAGCUUGAGCAGAGAGAACGAGAUCGCCAUACUAACGUACAGGCUUUCCAACAGCAGAUUGAGGAGCUGAAGAGCUGUAUUGAAGAAAGAGAAGAGGAGCUGUCCAAACUCAGAGUUGCAUCGGUAAGCUUUUGGAAGAAUCUGUUCCAGUGCUCUGCAUUUGAAACUGAGCACAUUAAAAACCAGGCCAGACAGUCUCAAAAUAUUUCAUGACCAACAGUUUAUCUGGGUUGUUUCCUCAGAUACUUUUUCCAGGCCAGCUGUAACUUUUUU
rnacentral:lncRNA from 1 species